rnacentral:rRNA from 1 species
CCUACGGGAGGCAGCAGUGAGGAAUAUUGGUCAAUGGACGAGAGUCUGAACCAGCCAAGUAGCGUGAAGGAUGACUGCCCUAUGGGUUGUAAACUUCUUUUAUAUGGGAAUAAAAUGUUCCACGUGUGGGAUGUUGUAUGUACCAUAUGAAUAAGGAUCGGCUAACUCCGUGCCAGCAGCCGCGGUAAUACGGAGGAUCCGAGCGUUAUCCGGAUUUAUUGGGUUUAAAGGGAGCGUAGGUGGAUUGUUAAGUCAGUUGUGAAAGUUUGCGGCUCAACCGUAAAAUUGCAGUUGAAACUGGUAGUCUGGAGUACAGGAGAGGUGGGCGGAAUUCGUGGUGUAGCGGUGAAAUGCUUAGAUAUCACGAAGAACUCCGAUUGCGAAGGCAGUACACUGGACUGCAACUGACACUGAGGCUCGAAAGUGUGGGUAUCAAACAGGAUUAGAUACCCUAGUAGUC